rfam:Medicago truncatula strain A17 chromosome 3, whole genome shotgun sequence.
AGUUCAUGAUCAGGGCAUCUUCUCAACAAGUCUUGAAACCGCUCCUUUGCCUCAUAUAAUUAUUCAGACUCAAACUGCGCAAAAUUUAAUAUAUCUCUUCUCAGUUU